AAAAUAAAAAAUAUUAGGGUUAAGGCUCACCUUUAUUUGCGUCUAAAAGGAGCAACAGUUUCACCCGAACAGUCGUCAAUGUGAACACGUGUGCAAUAUUUUAUAUAUCCCAGAGAUGUCGUGUGAUAUGUUUAGUGGUAAUGUCGUGUGAUAUGUUUAGUGGUAAUGUCGUGUGAUAUGUUUAGUGGUAAUGUCGUGUGAUAUGUUUAGGGGUAAUGUCGUGUGAUAUGUUUAGGGGUAAUGUCGUGUGAUAUGUUUAGGGGUAAUGUCGUGUGAUAUGUUUAAUGGUAAUGUCGUGUGAUAUGUUUAGGGAUAAUAUCGAGUGAUAUGUUUAGGGGUAAUGUCGUGUGAUAUGCUUAGGGAUAAUGUCGUGUGAUGUGUUUAGGGGUAAUGUCGUGUGAUAUGUUUAGGGGUAAUGUCGUGUGAUAUGUUUAGAGGUGAUGUCGUGUGAUAUGUUUAGAGGUGAUGUCGUGUGAUAUGUUUAGAGGUGAUGUCGUGUGAUAUGUUUAGGGGUGAUGUCGUGUGAUAUGUUUAGAGGUGAUGUCGUGUGAUAUGUUUAGAGGUGAUGUCGUGUGAUAUGUUUAGAGGUGAUGUCGUGUGAUAUGUUUAGAGGUGAUGUCGUGUGAUAUGUUUAGAGGUGAUGUCGUGUGAUAUGUUUAAGGGUAAUGUCGUGUGAUAUGUUUAGAGGUGAUGUCGUGUGAUAUGUUUAGGGGUAAUGUCGUGUGAUAUGUUUAGGGGUAAUGUCGUGUGAUAUGUUUAAGAGUAAUGUCGUGUGAUAUGUUUCUUGGUGAUGUCGUGUAAUAUGUUUCUUGUUAAUGUCGUGUGAUAUGUUUCUUGGUGAUGUCGUGUGAUAUGUUUCUGGGUAAUGUCGUGUGAUAUGUUUCUUGGUGAUGUCGUGUGAUAUGUUUCUGGGUAAUGUCGUGUGAUAUGUUUACGAGUAAUGUCGUGUGAUAUGUUUAGGGGUAAUGUCGUGUGAUAUGUUUAGAGGUGAUGUCGUGUGAUAUGUUUAAGGGUAAUGUCGUGUGAUAUGUUUAGAGGUGAUGUCGUGUGAUAUGUUUAAGAGUAAUGUCGUGUGAUAUGUUUAGAGGUGAUGUCGUGUGAUAUGUUUAAGGGUAAUGUCGUGUGAUAUGUUUCUUGGUGAUGUCGUGUAAUAUGUUUCUUGUUAAUGUCGUGUGAUAUGUUUCUUGGUGAUGUCGUGUGAUAUGUUUCUGGGUAAUGUCGUGUGAUAUGUUUCUUGGUGAUGUCGUGUGAUAUGUUUCUGGGUAAUGUCGUGUGAUAUGUUUACGAGUAAUGUCGUGUGAUAUGUUUAGGGGUAAUGUCGUGUGAUGUGUUUAGAGGUGAUGUCGUGUGAUAUGUUUAGAGGUAAUGUCGUGUGAUAUGUUUAGAGGUGAUGUCGUGUGAUAUGUUUAGGGGUAAUGUCGUGUGAUAUGUUUAGAGGUGAUGUCGUGUGAUAUGUUUAGGGGUAAUGUCGUGUGAUAUGUUUAGAGGUGAUGUCGUGUGAUAUGUUUAGGGGUAAUGUCGUGUGAUAUGUUUAGAGGUGAUGUCGUGUGAUAUGUUUAGGGGUAAUGUCGUGUGAUAUGUUUAGAGGUGAUGUCGUGUGAUAUGUUUAGGGGUAAUGUCGUGUGAUAUGUUUAGAGGUGAUGUCGUGUGAUAUGUUUAGAGGUGAUGUCGUGUGAUAUGUUUAGAGGUGAUGUCGUGUGAUAUGUUUAGAGGUGAUGUCGUGUGAUAUGUUUAGAGGUGAUGUCGUGUGAUAUGUUUAGAGGUGAUGUCGUGUGAUAUGUUUAGAGGUGAUGUCGUGUGAUAUGUUUAAGGGUAAUGUCGUGUGAUAUGUUUAGAGGUGAUGUGUGAUAUGUUUAGGGGUAAUGUCGUGUGAUAUGUUUAGAGGUGAUGUCGUGUGAUAUGUUUAAGGGUAAUGUCGUGUGAUAUGUUUCUUGGUGAUGUCGUGUAAUAUGUUUCUUGUUAAUGUCGUGUGAUAUGUUUCUUGGUGAUGUCGUGUGAUAUGUUUCUGGGUAAUGUCGUGUGAUAUGUUUCUUGGUGAUGUCGUGUGAUAUGUUUCUGGGUAAUGUCGUGUGAUA